UCUCUCUCUCUCUCUCUCUCUCUCCCUCUGCCUUUGCCUCUCCGUUGCUCUUCUCCCCUCCCUCUCUCGCCGCCGCUCCACCAGCCGUGCCUCCGCCGCUCCUCCUCGCGGUCGCCGGCAACUAGAGCACCGAUUCACCUAGAUUUGCCCUAUUUUCUUUGCCCUAAUUAAGGGAUUUUUUUUUAACCCACCAACACCGUCCAACGCCCUACAAUGGAGUUGGGGAAUGAGGACGAACCCACCCCCUCCUCUUCUGCUGCUGCUACGCCACUGCUUUCACUUCCACUUGCGCCUCACCGCUUUAUGUAGAAAUUCAUGCUCUACGAGACUCAAUCGGACUAUUGAGGCAACCCAAAUGGGGUCAUUUGAAAGAUCUGCAUAGAGCGAUAAAGUUGUGUGAGCCGGCUUUAGUAUCAGAAGAUCCCACUGUGAUCCCUCUUGGGAACUAUCAGGAGGAAAAGAAGAUGUGGUUUGAGAAGAAACUGUGAAUAGGCAGUUAUAGAAGAGACAAUAAUAUAAGUGUGGAAGACUCUAUAAAGGGAAAGGAAGGCGUGAUUUGAGAAGAAACCGUGAACAGCUAAUUGUGAAGGAAAUAAAUUAUGUUGUGCAACCUGGUCAAGGCUCAAUUGAGAAGUCUCACAAGUUGAAGAAGAUGAAUGACUAGAUUGAUCCCCGAUGCAGUGACCUACAUGUAAGAAUUUAACAAUAGAAUGAGAUGGAGCCCUCUUCUACCAUAUCCGAAGCUGCAUCAAGAGCACAUGAUAAGGAGAUGGAGACCUUGAUUUGUUUUGUUAAUUAAGAUUUUAUUUAAUUUGGAUUUUAAUUGUUGGUUUGAAUAGUAUAUGUAUUUGUUGGAUUAUACUAUGUUUAUGGAUUCUUAUUUUCUUUGAUAUGUACGGUUAAUAGUUAAGUUUUGUAUAUGGUUGGAAAUUGAAUGCUAUAGGUUGUGGAGAAAUAUUUUUAUUGAAUAGUUGAGAAUUGAAUGAA